rnacentral:rRNA from 1 species
AGUGAACGCUGGCGGCAGGCCUAAUACAUGCAAGUCGAACGGCAGCACAGCAGAGCUUGCUCUGUGGGUGGCGAGUGGCGGACGGGUGAGGAAUACAUGGGAAUCUGCCCAGUCGUGGGGGAUAACGUAGGGAAACUUACGCUAAUACCGCAUGCGCCCUUCGGGGGAAAGCCGGGGACCUUCGGGCCUGGCGCGAUUGGAUGAGCCCAUGUCGGAUUAGCUAGUUGGCGGGGUAAAGGCCCACCAAGGCGACGAUCCGUAGCUGGUCUGAGGGGAUGAUCGGCCACACUGGAACUGAGACACGGUCCAGACUCCUACGGGAGGCAGCAGUAGGGAAUAUUGGACAAUGGGCGCAAGCCUGAUCCAGCCAUGCCGCGUGAGUGAAGAAGGCCUUCGGGUUGUAAAGCUCUUUUGUCCGGAAAGAAAAGCAUCCAGUUAAUACCUGGGUGUCCUGACGGUACCGGAAGAAUAAGCACCGGCUAACUUCGUGCCAGCAGCCGCAGUAAAAC